rnacentral:rRNA from 1 species
AUACGGAAGGUGCAAGCGUUAAUCGGAAUCGACUGGGCGUAAAGCGCUCGUAGGUUGGCUUCGUAAGUCAGGUGUGAAAGCCCACGGCUCAACCGUGGAAUUGCACUUGAUACUGCAUUGCUUGAGUUCGGGAGAGGGUAGUGGAAUUCCAGGUGUAGGAGUGAAAUCCGUAGAGAUCUGGAGGAACACCAGUGGCGAAGGCGACUACCUGGACCGAUACUGACACUGAGGAGCGAAAGCGUGGGGAGC